rnacentral:rRNA from 1 species
GACGGAGGAUGCAAGCGUUAUCCGGAAUUAUUGGGCGUAAAGCGUCCGCAGGUGGACAUACAAGUCUGCUGUCAAAGUGCAGAGCUUAACUCUGUAAAGGCGGUGGAAACUGUAGGUCUUGAGUAUGGUAGGGGUAGAGGGAAUUCCCGGUGUAGCGGUGAAAUGACGUAGAUAUCGGGAAGAACACCAGUGGCGAAAGCGCUCUACUGGGCCAUAACUGACACUGAGGGACGAAAGCUAGGGGAGCGAAAGGG